CCUAGAAACCCUGUUUCAACAUUAGUUUCAUGACCUCAGGAACUUUCAGCUGGUUUUUUCUUUCAGGAAGCCUGAACGCUUCAUUCCUGUCUCCAGGGUAGGAAGCAUCUUUGACAACGGCACGAGGACACGGCAUUGUCACCUGGUUUUUCAAACAUAAGGCCUUGUCCUCACUCUCAGGUCAUUCUGCAAUAUGAUAGUCCUCUUUGUCUUCAGGCAGGCCUUCUCUGAGACCCCACACUCUCCAGGGCUCUGCAGGACUGCGCUCGGCCACCUUGGAUGAACUUGAAGUGGGCGUGGGAACCUCUUGGGUCAUGGUCACCGAGGAGAGGACGGAAAUGGAGAGCUUCCAGCGAGGAGAGUCUGCAGGCUGGAGAGGCGUCAACUGAAGACCCCAGAGAGAUGCCUUCAGGCUUGUCAGCUUUCCAUCUCAGCUGUCCUCUGGUACCUGCAACCCUGUAUGUCUUCUAAAUAAUCACUACCACCUGCUCUAGAAAUGGGAUCUGAGCUUGGAGCCAGCUGAUUUGAUUUGAGCUUUAAGGGUUAUUAACAAUACUCUGUGGUAUUACUCACUCAUAUAAGCACUACUGCUCAUCCCAGGACAGGAUGUAUGUUCUACUCACCACUUAACCACUUGUCUGCAGCUGCCAGUAAUGCAUCCCUCUGCUUCUGGUAGAAAUCAGUAACCAUAGAGGAAGAAAACAAUGAGAAGGCUGUGUUUGCUACACUGCUUGCAGAAACCAAAAGGCUCUGGGGUCCAGCCUAUAAGAAUCUAUUUUGUAUCUUGAUGAAAAUGUUGAAACUUGAUGAGGGAGUAGAGCAUAUUUGUUUGGUUUGUCAGGUAGUAAACUUUGUAUCUUGUGUUUUUUACAUCAUUUUGGAAUAAUUCAAAACAGAAUAACUGAGUGACAUCCAUUUCUAUAUAAAGUAUGGAACCUAAAAUACAAUACCUGUCUACAUAAGCCAGGAAGUCCUCUUCUCCCCAUUGCUGUAGAAGCUGUGAUACCAGGAAAUAAAAAGAAAGAGACAGUAACAAGGUUCAUCCUCUAAAAUGUGGUUUUUUUGCCAAAGAUAAUCACUCUUGACUAUGUGCAAACCAUCCUAAAAAAGAUGCACCAAGCUGCACCAAGUUUUGUAGGGCCAGUGACUUAUAACCAUAUUGGUUAAUGAUAAUGCCAACAAUAAAACUAACACAUAUUUAUAUGGUCCUUGCUGUGUGCCAAAAACUGCUGUACCAUAUGAGUAUAUUAACAUUUCAGUCAAGUUGAACUUUGUGGGGCUUCCCAGGUAGCUCAGUGGGUAAAGAAUCUGCCUGCGAUGCUGA